rnacentral:rRNA from 1 species
UACGAGGGGGGCGAGCGUUGUUCGGAAUUAUUGGGCGUAAAGGGUGCGUAGGCGGUUCGGUAAGUCUCAUGUGAAAUCUACAGGCUCAACUUGUAGUCUGCAUGAGAAACUGCCGGGCUUGAGUAUGGAAGAGGAGAGUGGAAUUCCCGGUGUAGCGGUGAAAUGCGCAGAUAUCGGGAAGAACACCCGUGGCGAAGGCGGCUCUCUGGGACGGUACUGACGCUGAGACGCGAAAGCGUGGGGAGCGAACAGG